rnacentral:rRNA from 1 species
CCUACGGGUGGCAGCAGUAGGGAAUAUUGCGCAAUGGGCGAAAGCCUGAAGCAGCAACGCCGCGUGAAGGAUGAAGGUUUUCGGAUUGUAAACUCCUUUUGUUAGGGAAGAAAAUGACGGUAUCUAACGAGUAAGCACCGGCUAACUCCGUGCCAGCAGCCGCGGUAAUACGGAGGGUGCAAGCGUUAGUCGGAAUCACUGGGCGUAAAGAGCGCGUAGGCGGGAUAGCAAGUCAGAUGUGAAAUCCUAUGGCUUAACCAUAGAACUGCAUUGGAAACUGGUAAUCUAGAGUAUGGGAGAGGGAGGUGGAAUUCUUGGUGUAGGGGUAAAAUCCGUAGAGAUCAGGAGGAAUA